rnacentral:tRNA from 1 species
AGUUAAAAACUUAGAAAGUAAUAUGUUUUGAAAGCAUAAUAAAAGGGGUUUAAGUCCCCUAUUAACUU